AGCAAAGCACUUUUAAAGGCAAGGAAGAGGAGAUUAGGACACAGACACACACAGAGGGAGGACCAGGUGAGGACACAGGGAGGAGAUGCCGUCUACGAGCCGAGGAGAGAGACUUCGGAGGAAGCCGGCCCUGACAACAGCUGGCUCUUGGCCUUCCAGCCUCCAGAACCGUAAGAAAAUCCAUUUCUGUUGUUGGCGCAGUCUGCGGUACUUCGUGAUGGCGGCCCCAGCAGACUCCCACACCCGCUCUCCCAGGCCUAGUGUAUACUAGGCCCCCGGUACAUGAAGACCGACUCUUUCAAGAUGGAUCCCAAAUAUCUCCAGUUGGAUGGCCAGGCUGUCCAGGAUCUGCUCCCCAGUAAUAAGGGGAGGAGGGGAGCAGGUGGGGGUCCCCCAGGCAACAGGACCGGCCAUGAGCUGCUGAAUAUUGAAGCUGGAUGGUGGGACCCGGGGUUCACAUCACUGCCAUAUUUACU